UACCAGCAGGUGGGGGACGACGCCAACUAUGAUGAUGAGCAGCCAGGCCCUUCAAGAGUGUCUGCACCAGUGGCAGAGCCAUCUGUGGAGAGAGGGCCAGAGGGUCUCUAAGGGCAGCAAAACGGAGGCCAAAAACAGUUGGCAGAGGAGAGCAGCAGCAGGUGGAGAAUGAGGAGCAGGAUCUGGAUGAUGAUGAGCAGCUAGGCCCAUCACAUGUGCCUGCACCAGUGGCAGAGCCAUCACAGGACAGAGGGGCAGAAGUACCUGGCAGCAAGCGUGGAGCCAUGGCCAUCAAAAACAGCCAAAAGGCUAUUUAUGGGGACUGGCUCUGGGACCUUCCUUAGACACAUAAAGUUCCCAGAGUCAAUCGUCACAUGCAACGAGGCACCACUUUGAGGAGGCCUCCACUCUGCCCCACCUUGAAUUCCCCCCCCCCCCUUACUCCCCGCCAAC